UGGGGAAUAUUGGACAAUGGGCGCAAGCCUGAUCCAGCCACGCCGCGUGAGUGAUGAAGGCCUUCGGGUCGUAAAGCUCUGUGGGGAGGGACGAACCGCUGUGCGUGAAUAUCGCGCAGCAUGACGGUACCUCCUUAGCAAGCACCGGCUAACUUCGUGCCAGCAGCCGCGGUAAUACGAAGGGUGCAAACGUUGCUCGGAAUUAUUGGGCGUAAAGCGCACGUAGGCGGCUUUGCAAGUCGGAUGUGAAAUCCCUCGGCUUAACCAAGGAAGUGCAUCCGAAACUGCAGAGCUUGAGUACUUAAGAGGAUCGCGGAAUUCCCAGGUGUAGAGGUGAAAUUCGUAGAUAUCGGGAGGAACACCAGUGGCGAAGGCGGCGAUCUGGGAAGAUACUGACGCUGAGGUGCGAAAGCGUGGGGGAGCAAACAGGAUUAGAUACCC
rnacentral:rRNA from 1 species